rnacentral:rRNA from 1 species
GAUGAACGCUGGCGGCGUGCUUAACACAUGCGAGUCGAACGGAAAGGCUCCUGCUUGCAGGGGUACUCGAGUGGCGAACGGGUGAGUAACACGUGGGUGAUCUGCCCUGCACUUCGGGAUAAGCCUGGGAAACUGGGUCUAAUACCGGAUAGGACGAUGGUUUGGAUGCCAUUGUGGAAAGUUUUUUCGGUGUGGGAUGAGCUCGCGGCCUAUCAGCUUGUUGGUGGGGUAAUGGCCUACCAAGGCGUCGACGGGUAGCCGGCCUGAGAGGGUGUACGGCCACAUUGGGACUGAGAUACGGCCCAGACUCCUACGGGAGGCAGCAGUGGGGAAUAUUGCACAAUGGGCGCAAGCCCGAUGCAGCGACGCCGCGUGGGGGAUGACGGCCUUCGGGUUGUAAACUCCUUUCGCUAGGGACGAAGCGCAAGUGACGGUACCUGGAGAAGAAGCACCGGCUAACUACGUG